rnacentral:rRNA from 1 species
GUGCUUAACACAUGCAAGUCGAACGAGAAAGGGAUUGCUUGUAGUCCCGAGUAGAGUGGCGCACGGGUGAGUAACACGUAGAUAAUCUGCCUUCAAGCCUGGGAUAACUAUUCGAAAGGGUAGCUAAUACCGGAUAAAGUCGAUCUACACAAGUAGAUUGAUGAAAGAUUGCCUCUUCUUGAAAGCAAUUGUUUGGAGAUGAGUUUGCGUACCAUUAGCUUGUUGGUGGGGUAAAGGCCUACCAAGGCAACGAUGGUUAGCUGGUCUGAGAGGAUGAUCAGCCACACUGGAACUGGAACACGGCCCAGACUCCUACGGGAGGCAGCAGUGAGGAAUUUUGCGCAAUGGGGGCAACCCUGACGCAGCAACGCCGCGUGAGUGAAGAAGGCCUUUGGGUCGUAAAGCUCUGUCAACAGGGAAGAAGUUACAGCUGUUUAAUAGAUGGUUGUAUUGACGGUACCUGUGGAGGAAGCGCCGGCUAACUCCGUGCCAGCAGCCGCGGUAAUACGGGGGGCGCAAGCGUUAUUCGGAAUUAUUGGGCGUAAAGGGCGCGCAGGCGGUCUUGUCCGUCAGGUGUGAAAGCUCGGGGCUCAACCCCGGAAGUGCACUUGAAACAGCAAGACUUGAAUACGGGAGAGGAAAGCGGAAUUCCUGGUGUAGAGGUGAAAUUCGUAGAUAUCAGGAGGAACACCGAUGGCGAAGGCAGCUUUUUGGACCGAUAUUGACGCUGAGGGGCGAAGGCGUGGGUAGCAAACGGGAUUAGAUACCCCGGUAGUCCACGCAGUAAACGUUGUACACUCGGUGUAGCGGGUAUUAAAACCUGCUGUGCCCAAGCUAACGCAUUAAGUGUACCGCCUGGGAAGUACGGUCGCAAGACUAAAACUCAAAGGAAUUGACGGGGGCCCGCACAAGCGGUGGAGCAUGUGGUUUAAUUUGACGCAACGCGAAGAACCUUACCUGGGUUUGACAUCCUGUGAAUAUCCUGUAAUUGGGAUAGUGCCUUCGGGAGCACAAAGACAGGUGCUGCA